AAAGACUUGUAACAGAAGGAAAUAGAUGCUUGAGCUGCGUCUUCCCAUUUCCAUGUGGAGCAGCGUAGGAAAGACUGAAGACCCAACAUACAUCACAG
rnacentral:lncRNA from 1 species